CAAAGUUCAGUGGCAGAGCAUUUGACUUUAAAUCAAAAGGUCCCCAAUUUAAAUCUGGGUG
rnacentral:tRNA from 1 species